AGUGAACGCUGGCGGUAGGCCUAACACAUGCAAGUCGAACGGCAGCACAGUAAGAGCUUGCUCUUACGGGUGGCGAGUGGCGGACGGGUGAGGAAUACAUCGGAAUCUACUUUUUCGUGGGGGAUAACGUAGGGAAACUUACGCUAAUACCGCAUACGACCUACGGGUGAAAGCAGGGGAUCUUCGGACCUUGCGCGAUUGAAUGAGCCGAUGUCGGAUUAGCUAGUUGGCGGGGUAAAGGCCCACCAAGGCGACAAUCCGUAGCUGGUCUGAGAGGAUGAUCAGCCACACUGGAACUGAGACACGGUCCAGACUCCUACGGGAGGCAGCAGUGGGGAAUAUUGGACAAUGGGCGCAAGCCUGAUCCAGCCAUACCGCGUGGGUGAAGAAGGCCUUCGGGUUGUAAAGCCCUUUUGCUGGGAAAGAAAAGCAGCAGGUUAAUACCCCGCUGUUCUGACGGUACCCAAAGAAUAAGCACCGGCUAACUUCGUG
rnacentral:rRNA from 1 species